rnacentral:rRNA from 1 species
GACGAACGCUGGCGGCAUGCCUAACACAUGCAAGUCUAGGGGUAGCAAUACCACUGGCGCACGGGUGAGUAACACGUAGGUUAUCUGCCCCCAUCACAGACAUAACCCCGGGAAACCGGGGCUAAUAUCUGAUGAGGUCGCGAGAUCAAAGCUUCGGCGGAUGGGGAUGAGCCUGCGGCUGAUUAGCUAGUUGGUGAGGUAAUGGCUCACCAAGGCGACGAUCAGUAGCUGGUCUGAGAGGACGAACAGCCACACUGGAACUGAGACACGGUCCAGACUCCUACGGGAGGCAGCAGUGAGGAAUAUUGGUCAAUGGGAGCAAUCCUGAACCAGCAAUGCCGCGUGUGGGAUGACAGGGCUUCGCCUUGUAAACCACUGUCGGACGGGACGAAAGGAGGCCUCGGGCCUCUGGGGACGGUACCGUCAAAGGAAGGGUCGGCUAACUACGUGCCAGCAGCCGCGGUAAU